GAUGAACGCUGGCGGCGUGCCUAAUACAUGCAAGUCGAGCGAACGGACGAGAAGCUUGCUUCUCUGAUGUUAGCGGCGGACGGGUGAGUAACACGUGGAUAACCUACCUAUAAGACUGGGAUAACUUCGGGAAACCGGAGCUAAUACCGGAUAAUAUUUUGAACCGCAUGGUUCAAAAGUGAAAGACGGUCUUGCUGUCACUUAUAGAUGGAUCCGCGCUGCAUUAGCUAGUUGGUAUGGUAACGGCUUACCAAGGCAACGAUGCAUAGCCGACCUGAGAGGGUGAUCGGCCACACUGGAACUGAGACACGGUCCAGACUCCUACGGGAGGCAGCAGUAGGGAAUCUUCCGCAAAGGGCGAAAGCCUGACGGAGCAACGCCGCGUGAGUGAUGAAGGUCUUCGGAUCGUAAAACUCUGUUAUUAGGGAAGAACAUAUGUGUAAGUAACUGUGCACAUCUUGACGGUACCUAAUCAGAAAGCCACGGCUAACUACGUG
rnacentral:rRNA from 1 species